AUUAUGAGAUACACAUUUUUAAACAUCCUUUUGUGUGUAAGUGUGUAUUAGUACAUGCUAACGAUAUUCAAAAAGUACAUACCUCAAAGAAAACGAUGACGCGAGUUAUCGUCUCUAACGUUCGAGGACUACAAAAAACACUCGGAUUGUAGGCAACAGUUUACUUCCUGGGAUUGGUGACGUAGAGAAGACCAACAUUAUCAUAGUUCAGCCCUCUCUGCUUUGCUUGGGUACGCCCUCAAAGACGGGGGUGGAGAGCGCUGAGUCAGAAGAGAGCUAAAAUGGCUGAGGUUGGGAGUCCCUGCUUUGACCCUGUUUGCAAACUCUUGUUUCAUUGUUUAAGCGAUUAAAUCUCUCGAGUAGACGCUGUCUCUUUAGAUGCAAGGGCAAAAUAGCACUUUAUGGACUUACACAGAGGACAUCAUGUUUAAUACGGUUCCGGAAAAAUCCAGUCAGAAGUGGUUCACGGAGUUUUCACAAUAACUGCUUCUCAUGAACCGAAGCUGCGCGACGUCUCCUCCUGAAAGUUGGAUUACCGUGCACUUCUGGAUCACAGGCUAUUCGCAGCUGGACACAUCCUUCUACACUGUAUGCAAACAUGCAACAUCAUUACACACAGUACAAGGCAUAUGAGGAGCAAAGGAACCCAGGCAGUAGCAUCGUUUCACAAUGUUUCAAUCACCAUCAUCAGUGGAUGCCUUUGCCUUCCAUAGCCUGAGAUUUCAGAUUUGCAGCAAAAAAUGUGACUUUCCCAUUUAUUGGAAUGCUGUGCAGGUAUUUAAGUAUUUUAGUAACUGUUGUACCUUGCAGCCAUCCAUUACAAUGUCACCAAGCCGUAACAAAAGCAGGAGAGGGAAAGUACAAGGCUAUGUUCCCAAAACACACAAGUGACAUACUGUAAGCAGUAAUGUUUUAUUUCAAAUACAUUCAUAAUUAAAAACUUAAUGUAUGAAGCAGGGAAAUAAAUGAUCAAAACAAAAGAUUUAUUGACUGCAAUAUUUGUACAGUUAUGUGGAUGAUGUUAUCAGGCUUGUAUUUGCUGAGGUAUUUGAAGAUAAGCUGAAGGAAAUCCCGAUUCCAAUGGACCUGGCAUCACAGUUUGAGAGACCUUCAAAGGAGGACGUGAUUGCAUGCCAUCUUCAGUGCAGGGGUCGUCGGAAGCCAACAUUCCGAUCAGGAAGCUCCAAGCACAUCUGGAGAACAACACACGACAGGAUGAUAACCCUAAAGUGUCGUCUUAGAUAGCACCAGCUGACAAAGCUUUGAUAUGCCAUUUAUCUGAAUAGAUAGCUGUAAGAAGUGAAUUGAACAAUUUUUUGAAAGAGGAGCACAAUAUGGUUAUUAAAGU